GUUUAAUUAGCAGGUUUAGAUAUUUCAGCUGCACGUUAUUAACAGGUGCAUAAAAUCAAGUGUGCAGCCAAGGAAUUUCCUUUUCAGCGGAAUGGAGCCCUUUUCUGUUCCAACAUGAUGGUGCACAAAGCAUUUUACUGAGUCUGGUGUGGAAAAACUCGUGCAAAGUCCACAACUGAAUCCUGCUGAAUUCUUUUGGGAUAAAUUUGGAUGUGUGCCAGACCCCAUCACCCAACAUCAGUAUCUGACCUCACUGAUGCUCAUGUCUGAAUGGGAGCAAAUCCCUGCAGCCAUGUUCCAACAUCUUGUGGAAAGUCUUCCCAGAAGAAUAGAAGCUGUUAAAUGUUCAGCAAGCACAUAUGGGUUUUGUGCCAUCACUGUUACAUUCAAAAUGGUUUGGGGUCAAAUGUUACAAGAUUGAAGAUUGAUGGCAGAAGGCCUGCCCAAUAAGCCAUAUUUAUGACAGGAACCAAAGAUAGCAGACAGCAGCAUGAAAGGAGAGCCGGUGGGAAUUCGAUCAGGACACGGCGCAGGGCAAACUCAAACCAGCCUCCCGUCGGGCACGUGCAAAUCCUGCUGCGUCAUGGCUCCGACAGAGAAUAUAAUUUGAAAAGUUUUCUUCCUUCCUAGAAAGUUCAUGCUGAGUAUUACCAGCAUCUCCCCAGGACCAGCUGUUUGGCUGAAUUUCUCAAACCCGUUUCAAAAGCAUUCCGAUGUCUCCCAUUCAUACCAAAUGAGAAGCAAAAAUGCCAAAAAAAGAUAUGCAAAUCACCCAUGCAGCACCCCGUCUACAUCUAAGGAGGGAAAUCUUCCGAAUGCAGCAGAGUGUUUCCUGUUUCCUCCAGAUUGCAGGCUUUGGCAGGAGCCUGGCGAUCAUUAUAACUAGAGGAGACAUGUCCCCCUCACUUUUGGAAACUGAGAAUGUUCAUUGUCAGUGCUUUUGGGAGAUAAUCAUUACUUUUCAAAGACCCAUGCUUUGAUGUGUCCCCCCUCUGCUUUUGGAAUCCUUGCGCAGCCCCUGAUGUCAGGCGUUUUUAUUCUGUCCAUCAGGUAGUCUUAAUAGGCAAAUGGGAAUAGACAAUGUUGGUGCUGCACAAUCACAGGCCUGUCCUCGUCUUUCAAAGUACACUCUAAUUAUUGCAGAAUCUGAAUUCCUAAUUCCAGUCAUUUGGAUUUGAAUUUGAUUAAAACAGAUCAAACAUCAUGAGGUUUGGCACAGCCUUAUAUGUGCGCCUUUGGUGAUUAUUUCUAAUCUGGGAAUUUCUGCUCUAAUAAGGACACCUGAAUUUGCAGAAAAGCCUUUGUUUGAUAAUGCAUCACAUAGGCAAUUAAAGAGCCUAUUUAGGGGGGCUUCAGCCCUCUUGUCUUUCAUCUAAUCAGCAAUGAAUUUAGCUGUCAGCACCCUAAAAGUCAGUGAUUAUAUGAUCGUUCCUGUUUACUGAAAACAGCGACAUCUUAUUUCACAGGUCAUUUCACACUGAAUCUUCCCCUUACUAGUCAUUAAACUUAAAAACAUCAAACCUCAUUAGACUGAAGAGAAAGGUUGCUCAAAAAUUUAAAUGGUGUCAUUGUUUACUCACCCUUAUGUUAUUCCAAACCAGUAUGAGUUUUUUUCCUCAAAAAAAGUCAAAAAAGGCACAGACAGAAUCUUCGUGUCACUCUCUUAGAAGAACCAUUUAAAUUCCCCAGAGAACCUUUCUCUGAACAGCUCCUAAGAACCAUUUUUAUUCUUAAAGGAAAAGUUCAUCUAAAAGUAAAAAUUUGCUGAAAAUGUACUCCCCCUCAGGCCAUCUAAGAUGUAAAUGAGUUUGUUUCCUCAAAAGAACAGAUUU